AGUCAUAAUUACCCAGGACAAACCCACAACUGUCCCUCCCGAAGGAGCAGAAGUAGCUGGUACUUCCUCAGGGCUUGGCGUACGCAUUGACAUAGGCAUUGGCUCCGGUGUUGGUAUUGUAGUUCUUGUUGCAGUUGCUGCAAUUAUACCUUUGGCCAUUUUGAAGAAUAAUAGGAUGAAGGUCGGUACUAGAUAAUGGCUUACAAAUUAACAGACAUAAUAUUGGAAGAAAAGAAUGGAAAAGUUAGGAAAUAAGCUUCAUGCAUUUGCACUGAAUUUCUGUAGUGAAAAUAGAACGCUCUCAGGCAACCAGAGUUCAUAGAUUCACAGAUACGAAGGUCAGAAGGGACCAUUAUGAUCAUCUAGUCUGACCUCCUGCGCAACUCAGGCCACAGAAUCUCACCCACCCACUCCUGCGAUAAACCUCUCACCUAUGUCUGAGCUAUUGAAGUCCUCAAAUUGUGGUUUAAAGACUUCAAGGAGCAGAGAAUCCUCCAGCAAGUGACCCAUGCCCCAUGCUAUAGAGGAAGGCAAAAAACCUCUUCCAAUCUGCCCUGGAGGAAAAUUCCUUCCCAACCCCAAAUAUGGCGAUCAGCUAAACCCUGAGCAUAUGGGCAAGAUUCACCAGCCAGAUACUACAGAAAAUUCUUUCCUGGGUAACUCUGAUCCCAUGCCAUCUAACAUCCCAUCACAGGCCAUUGGGCCUAUUUACCAUGAAUAUUUAAAGAUCAAUGAAUUACCAAAAUCAUGUUAUCCCAUCAUACCAUCUCCUCCACUAACUUAUUGAGUUUAAUCUUAAAGCCAGAUAGAUCUUUUGCCCCCACUGCUUUCCUUGGAAGGCUAUUCCAAAAUUUCACUCCUCUGAUGGUUAGAAACCUUUGUCUAAUUUCAAGUCUAAACUUCCCAAUGACCAGUUUAUCUAUUUGUUCUUGUGUCCACAUUGGUAAUGAGCUUAAAUAAUUCCUCUCCCUCUCCAGUAUUUAUCCCUCUGAUAUAUUUGUAGAGAGCAAUCAUAUCUGCCCUCAGCCUUCUUUUAAUUAGGCUAAACAAGCCAAGCUUCUUGAGUCUCCUUUCAUAAGACAAGUUUUCCAUUCCAUUCCUCGGAUCAUCCUAGUAGCCCUUCUCUGUACCUGUUCCAGUUUGAAUUCAUCCUUCUUAAACAUGGGAGACCAGAACUGCACACAGUAUUCCAGGUGAGGUCUCACCCGUGCCUUGUAUAACGGUACUAAAACCUCCUUAUCUCUACUGGAAAUACCUCUCCUGAUGCAUCCCAAGACCGCAUUAGCUUUUUUUACAGCCAUAUCACAUUGGCGGUUCAUAGUCAUCCUAUGAUCAACCAAUACUCCAAGGUCCUUCUCCUCCUCCGUUACUUCUAAUUGAUGCAUCCCCAGCUUAUAACUAAAAUUCUUGUUAUUAAUCCCUAAAUGCAUAACCUUACACUUCUCACUAUUAAAUUUCAUCCUAUUACUAUUACUCCAGUUUACAAGGUCAUCCAGAUCCUCCCUUUUACUACACCUUUUCUCCUUUGAACUGGACUUGUAAUCGAAACCCACUGCAUUUGAAAAAAGAAAAAGGGAAGUAGAUCAUCCCUUUGCCUUUAAAAACUGGUUUCUGAAGCAAGCAAAGGCUGUUGGCAGCAUUACUUAAUUACUUAACAUUACUUGCUGUUCUGUACGCGCAGCUGGCUCCUUAUUCUGCCUCUCCAUAGUGCUAAAUGUUUCACCUGUUAACAUGUUAGCCAUCUGAGUGUGGCAUAGUUUGGAUUGUGGGUUUUAGCUGCAGGUGGCAAGAGAGCCUGUUUAGAUGCCUGCUUACAGGCUUCCAUCGUGAAGUGUGUAAUAUUAGUCUUUAAACCCAAAUGUAAAGAUGCCAGACUCUAAAUGGAAUUCUGUAGAUUCUUGAUGUGACCUUUCUUCAGAUUCAUCUACAGAUUUUUGUUGUAGUGAGAAUCUCUUCAGAUAAAUCCACCUUUUGUUCCCAGCUCUAUAACUUCUGUUUCUUUUUACAAAUUUAUGCAUGUCUCCCCUAAGAGAAAAGAGUGAAGUGUGUGAAUUUACAUGGGGUUCCAGAGAUGUUCAGAAGCUUAUCACUGAGGUUUUUUUAAAUAAAAUUUACUGAAUAUAAGGCAUCCUGUUUCUUUCCCUACAAUCAACUAGCACUUUAUAGGAAGUAAGCAAUAAGAUCAAAAGUGUACUCCAUAGCAAGUUCUCCGGUGGUUUAGUGACUAAAUUAAUUUUAUGUUUUAGUCAUCAAAAAAUGUCUUUGGAGGUCUGAAAACAAGCUUUUUAAAUGCAGGAAAUGGCACUCUCUGCUGGUAAGAUGGAUGUGACUGUAAUCCAAUACAUUAUUAUAAUUUAUUUUAUCAUUUAAAACAUGUUGUUUAUAUUCUUUUUUACAAUCACAACUAUGCUGAGUUUUGUUUAGCAAUAUGCACAAAUCUUUCCACAGAUGGUGAAACUGUAACCGAAGGAAUCUCUGGGAUUUAUGUCAUCUUUUUUAAUGGGUUUCAGAGUAACAGCCGUGUUAGUCUGUAUUCGCAAAAAGAAAAGGAGUACUUGUGGCACCUUAGAGACUAACCAAUUUAUUUGAGCAUGAGCUUUCUUUUUAAUCUUUUUUAAUGUAUUUUUCUUAAAUAAAAGGAAUACUGAAUGAA